rnacentral:rRNA from 1 species
UUCUCGGGCAAAAUAUCCUCAUAAGUUUGACGACAAGAGGGACCAGUAAUUUAUAAUUUAUUAUAUUCUACUGGUGGCACAGAAUCGGAGGCCCCGACUGUUUACUAAAAACACAAUUCAGAGCAAUGAUUAAUAUCAUAGUAUUCUGGAUGAAAUUUGCUCAAUGCCAUUAAUACAAGAGAGGUGAGGGAGACUGUUACUAAUCGAAAGUCUGGUGAAUAGCGGUCUUAACUAUGAGGAUCCUAAGGUAGCAAAAUAAAUUGGCCAUUAAAUGUGGUCCGGUAUCAGUAGUCCAACGAUGGUCUCGCUGUCUCUACAACUUGCUCAGUGAAAUUGAAUUACCCGUGAAGAUGCGGGUUGCCUCCAGGGGGACGGGAAGACCCUAUGCGCCUUUACUG